rnacentral:rRNA from 1 species
GACGAACGCUGGCGGCGUGCUUAACACAUGCAAGUCGAACGGAAAGGCCCUGCUUUUGUGGGGUGCUCGAGUGGCGAACGGGUGAGUAACACGUGAGUAACCUGCCCUUGACUUUGGGAUAACUUUAGGAAACUGGGGCUAAUAUCGGAUAGGAGCUCCUGCUGCGUGGUGGGGGUUGGAAAGUUUCGGCGGUGGGGGAUGUACUCGCGGCUUAUCAGCUUGUUUGUGGGGUAGUGGCUUCCCACGGGUUUGACGGGUAGCCGGCCUGGGAGCGGGACCGGCCACAUUGGGACUGCGAUACGCACCAGACUCGUACGGGCGGCAGCAGUGGGGAAUAUUGCACAAUGGGCGGACGCCUGAUGCAGCGACGCCGCGUGCGGGAUACCGGCCUUCGGGGUGUAAACCGCUUUCGCCUGUGACGAAGCGUGCGUGACGGUAAUGGGUAAAGAAGCCCCGGCUAACUACGUG